CCAGCCGAGCAUGACUCGCGGCUGCAGGCUCGUGUGUCCAUAAGACCCCGCUAAUUUCAUAACCCUGGACCGCGUCCUCACCUCCCCCAACGCGGCCGAGAGGCUGCUGGGGGAGAGAGCUCGUGAUUGGGCCCAGUUGGAGUGACUGAGCCACACCUGUCACAAUGAGCCAUCAGGAAACAGUCAGCAUCUUCCUGCAGGACACCAACACCUGUCAGCAGAGUGGGUCAACAGAAUAACUCUGCUGCCAUGAUGCAAGGCACUAACGAUGGUGCUAGAGACUACGGUGAUGGGCAUCUUAUUGAUGUGUGUAAUGAAAGUAAUAAAUAAUAAUAAUGAAUAACAAUAACUAAUUAACAAUAAAAGAUCCCAGUGAGGAAUCAAGAGAGAUCCAUGAAAAUAUUAUGAGUCAUAAAGUAUUAGGAAAUUGAGUUACUCUCUUUGUUCAGGACAUUAGAUUAAAGAGGAGAAUAACCUGAACUGUAUUACUGAGCCCACCUAGAACAGAUUUUGGACCCUCCCCUUGAAUAUUAGUACUCUGCAUUGUUGUUCAAAU